ACGCUGGCGGCGUGCCUAACACAUGCACGUCAACUUGACUGAAGGAGCAAUCUGACAGUAGAGUGGCGCAAGGGUGCGUAACGCGUAAGUAACUUGCCCAAGGUAAGGAAUAACGUCGAGAAAUCGGCGCUAAUACCUCAUAAUGCAGCGGAUCCGCAUGGAUAUGUUGUUAAAGGUUUACCGCCUUGGGAUAGGCUUGCGUCUGAUUAGCUAGUUGGUGUGGUAACGGCACACCAAGGCUACGAUCAGUAACUGGUCUGAGAGGAUGAUCAGUCACACUGGAACUGAGACACGGUCCAGACUCCUACGGGAGGCAGCAGUGAGGAAUAUUGGGCAAUGCUCGAAAGAGUGACCCAGCAACGCCGCGUGGAGGAUGAAGGUAUUCUAUAUCGUAAACUCCUGUGAGAGCAGACGAAAGACAGAUUAUUAAUCUGGAUGACUGUAUGCUCAGAGGAAGCCCCGGCUAACUACGUG
rnacentral:rRNA from 1 species